rfam:Puccinia sorghi strain RO10H11247 Scaffold_869, whole genome shotgun sequence.
UCUCCCAUAGCUUAGUUGGUAGAGCGCAAUGCUUAUAUUACGGCAUUCUUCAAUUGAGAGGAAGCUGGUAUGCUUUGAAGAGCACAAUCUCGAAAGAGACGUUGAUGUCAGGGGUUCGAGCCCCCUUGGGAGAA